ensembl:lncRNA
UUAUUUUCUGAACUAUUUAUUUAGAUUUAAUACAAUUAGAUUGAAAUAUUAAAUAUUACAUUCAAUGCAUUUCAGGAGCUGUAAUAUUAUUAAAAGAAAAAGCAUGUCUGAAAAUAGUUUGUCUUCAUUCUACACAGGCCUACACAAAUAGAUUGAAAGUAUAUGUGGUAGUAGAAUAGAUGCAAUAUUGCAUUCAAAUAUGUACUGAAAUAAGGAUAUUUGUUACUCAUUCAUUCAGGUAUUCAAUACUUAUCCUUUCACUGUGCAAAUCAUUUUAUUUUUUACUAAAAUGUUCAUUUUUACAAAGAAUAACAUUGCACCUAACCCAGCCCAAUCACUGGAAGUAAAACAACCUAUAAGACGAGACCUCAAGUGAUGUCAGCUAAGUCCAUAUGCAAGUGACAGAGAAUCGAGAAAGAGAGUGCGGCUAAGCAAAGGACAAGACAGAAAUGACAGGGAAUUUUGCGCCUGAAUCCUUUUAGUAGCCCAGUGACACAUGAAUGAGUGGAGAAAGAAAGAGAGAGAGGAAGGACGGAGAGGCAGAGAGAGAAUAAGUGAGAGAAAAAAAGUAGACAACCAAUUUGGGAGUAAUGCAACUAAAAACAGACAAGUGUAAUUUCAUCCAUCUGGGCUGAUGUGUAAAAGUGCUGCUCUGAACAUUCCCCAUGAUUCCCUCUGAUUGAUCUCCUCCCGGAUUGAAACGCCUAUUAUUAGCCACGAGCCUAAUAGCAUCAGGAUGGCCCGCCGCUCUCCGAAGGGCCAAUUCUCUGGUCGGUCAUCUCUCCCCUCACUCUCUGCAGCUGUGGAAACCAACAAGAGAGAGGGGGGGUGGGGGAGGGUGGGGGAUGGAGUGAGAGAGCGAGAGAGAGAGCGAGGGGCGAGGAGGUCUGGGUGAGAGUGGGGGAGAGAAAGAGGGGGCAAGGUGAGGAGGAGGAGAUGGAGAGGGGGUGAGGGGGUGGUUGGAAGAGAAAUAGGAUGGAGAUGGGAGAAAAGAGAGGGAUAGGAGGAUUGGGUGAUGAAGAGAAAGAGAAAUAUAGGGUUGGGGGGGUGACAGGCAGUGGUGCUGGUAGUGGGGUAGAACUAAUUAUAAACAUUCCGGGGUUGAAACGGAGAGAAGAGAGAGUGGAGAGAUGGUGAAACAACAAUGAGGAGAGGGAAAUGCAAUACAAACGGUUAAUCAUACAAUUUGAUUGAAGUAUUUGCCAUUUAUCUUCAUAUGUCAUGAUAUUGAAACAACAAAAUGUCUUUGUUCCAUUUCAAUCAUUGAAUUUCCUGUAACGAUUUCACCCCUCAUUGUUCUUGUUCAAAUUCAAGUGGAGUUGUGCUCAAUAUUUAUUUUGUAAAACGGUCAAUUCAUUUAAGAAAAUGUGAAAACACUCUGACUUCUAAAGAUUUCAUGAUUGAAGCUGCAAUUGGACAUGAUUGCCAUCAUGAUGACAGUACUCACGUGACAGGAAAAACAACCAGCCCUAAUAAAUGUGGUUAGACAUUGCUUACUCCUACUCCAUAUCAAAAGUUGGCUGGCUUUCUUUACAUCUAGCUGGACUGGUAUUAGCUUUAAAGGUUAUAUAAAACAGUAUACCCCACUCUGAAUACAAGGACAGAUGGUCAACAAUUUGUUGAAUGCAUCAAGAUAGUAUCUAGUUUGCAGGUUGAUCCAAUGCAACCACUCAUGUUUCAACCCAAUGGAGACCAAUGGUGUCAUAGCUACAUGUAUGUAGUAUUGAAAUAUUUGAUAUGAGGGAGGUGAAUGAGUCAUUUUUGGUUGUUGUUGCAUCAUUGACUUUUGGGUAAUUGUAGUCAUGAUUUAAGGUCUUUGGUCCUUAGUUGAGCACCCAUUCAGUCUCUUUUGAGUAUUUUGAAUGAGCCCUUUGGUGAGGUUUGUUGCAUUUCAAAGCACACUGAUCACAAUGAUUGGCUAGUUGGUUCAAAUGGCCAGAAGUCUAAAAGUCUAAAGCCCUCAACUUGAAAAUGGCAGUUGGAACUAAUGGAAAUAAGAGCUUGGGUACUAAGGCAAUGCAUUAAUAACUAAAUUAUAUGGCUAGCAAUACAAAUUAUGGUCCAGAGUGACCAUAAAACUAAUGCUCUCCUUGUUCUGUGAUCCAGAGCUCCGAAAGUCAAAUGUAGUUUAUAAUGGUUCAAUCAGUAGUAAGGCUGGUCAGAAUGGCUAGCUUGCUUUAACUUCAUACAGUAAGGCUGGUCAGAAUGGCUAGCUUGCUUUAACUUCAUACAGUAAGGCUGGUCGGAAUGGCUAGCUCGCUUUAACUUCAUACAGUAAGGCUGGUCGGAAUGGCUAGCUCGCUGUAACUUCAUACAGUAAGGCAGGUUUGAAUGGCUAGCUCGCUUUAGCUUCAUUCAGCAAGGCUGGUCUGAAUGGCUAGCUCGCUUUAACUUCAUACAGUAAGGCAUAAUAUAAUGAACAUAGUUUCCUAUUCUACAGGCAUUGUGGCAUACAUAAGUACAUAAGUGUUUACAAACGUUAUCAUCUGCAUAGCAUCAAGUCUCUCUUCCUCUUUCAAUAUUAGCCACAUGCAGAAUGUCAUUCACAUAUAUUACCUUAUAUACCCUAUAAGCAAGGCACAAUAAUGCGCAUUCCUCACACUUGCUGUUUAACCAAUGGUCACACUUUUGCAAUUAUCACCUAUCUCUCUGUCAACCAAUGGGCAUACAUCUUGGAAUGUAUUUAUAUGUCAAAUGUACCCAUGUUUUCUUACUUGCUGCAUUACAG